UAAAUCCUUCAGGGCAGGGUGAAAUUCCCGACCGGCGGUACAGCCCGCGAGCCAUAAAAUGGCUGACCUGGUGAAAUUCCAGGGCCGACAGUAUAGUCUGGAUGGGAGAAGGAAUUA
rnacentral:ncRNA from 2 species